UGUAUGGGGAUAGAUGGACAGACAGAUAGAUAUAUGGCUGUGUAUGGAGAUAUCUAGAUAGACAGAUAGAUCUGUAGAGGGUCAGACAGACAGAAGACACACGGGCAGAUGGGCACGUAUGGGGACAGACAGAAGACAAGCGGGUACAUGGGUGCGUUUGGGGACAGACAGACAGAAGACAGGUGGGUAGAUGGGCGCAUUUGGGGACAGACAGACAGAAGACAGGCAGGUAGAUGAGCGCAUAUGGGGACAGACAGACAGAAGACAGGCGGGUAGAUGGGCGCGUUUGGGGACAGACAGACAGAAGACAGGCGGGUAGAUGGGCGCGUUUGGGGACAGACAGACAGAAGACAGGCGGGUAGAUGGGCGCAUUUGGGGACAGACAGACAGAAGACAGGCGGGUAGAUGGGCGCGUUUGGGGACAGACAGACAGAAGACAGGCGGGUAGAUGGGCGCGUUUGGGGACAGACAGACAGAAGACAGGCGGGUAGAUGGGCGCGUUUGGGGACAGACAGACAGAAGACA